CCGUUGGUGAACCAGCGGAGGGAUCAUUACCGAGUUUACAACUCCCAAACCCCUAUGUGAACGUUACCAAACUGUUGCCUCGGCGGGAAAUUCAUGCCCCGGGCGCGUCGCAGCCCCGGACCAAGGCGCCCGCCGGAGGACCAACCAAAACUCUUUUGUAUGUCCCUCGCGGACUUUUAUAAUUCUGAACCAUCUCGGCGCCCCUAGCGGGCGUUUCGAAAAUGAAUCAAAACUUUCAACAACGGAUCUCUUGGUUCUG
rnacentral:misc_RNA from 1 species